AAAGAGAAGCGAAAGGGCGACCUGGAGCAAACCUCAAAAAUAACGUCCCAGUUCGGACUGCAGGCUGCAACCCGCCUGCACGAAGCCGGAAUCGCUAGUAAUCGCGGAUCAGAAUGCCGCGGUGAAUACGUUCCCGGGUCUUGUACACACCGCCCGUCACACCAUGGGAGUCAGUAACGCCCGAAGUCAGUGACCCAACCUGGAAAGGGGAGGGAGCUGCCGAAGGCGGGACGGAUAACUGGGGUGAAGUCGUAACAAGGUAAC
rnacentral:rRNA from 1 species